rnacentral:rRNA from 1 species
AAGUGGAGCAAUCCACGAGUAAAGUGGCGCACGGGUGAGUAACACGUGACUAACCUACCCUGGAGUGGGGGAUAACUGAGGGAAACCUUAGCUAAUACCGCAUAAUACCUACGGGUCAAAGGAGCAAUUCGCUUUGGGAGGGGGUCGCGGCCGAUUAGUUAGUUGGCGGGGUAAUGGCCCACCAAGACAGUGAUCGGUAUCCGGCCUGAGAGGGCGCACGGACACACUGGAACUGAAACACGGUCCAGACUCCUACGGGAGGCAGCAGUGGGGAAUCUUGCGCAAUGGGCGAAAGCCUGACGCAGCAACGCCGCGUGAGGGACGAAGGCCUUCUGGG